rnacentral:rRNA from 1 species
UACGGGGGGGGCAAGCGUUGUUCGGAAUUACUGGGCGUAAAGGGCUCGUAGGCGGCCAACUAAGUCAGACGUGAAAUCCCUCGGCUUAACCGGGGAACUGCGUCUGAUACUGGAUGGCUGGAGUUUGGGAGAGGGAUGCGGAAUUCCAGGUGUAGCGGUGAAAUGCGUAGAUAUCUGGAGGAACACCGGUGGCGAAGGCGACGUCCUGGACCGGUAUUGACGCUGAGGCGCGAAAGCCAGGGGAGCAAACAGG